GUCUGCCCCCACCAGGACUGUGACUCUUUCCUCUGUUUGACCUGGCCUCUCACCUUUGGACCACGGCCGCUCAGCCACCUCCUUUGCUGCCCCUCGUGCCUCCCGAGGAAGCAUCCCCUCUCUUCGCCAGGCUCUCCCCCUUCUCCCUCCCCUCCCUGUCACCUCCAUCCCAGAAAGAAGCCUUCACUUUCUCCACCAGCCUCUCUCCCCUCAACCCCCAGCAGCUGUGGGGGAAAUUGGGCCAUUUGAAGAAUAAAGGAGAAGGCAGGAGGGAGGAAACUCCCAUCCCAGGGCCCGGUCCACAGCUGGGGUGAAAGCCUGUUCCUCGUUAACACCCUGACUCAGGGACCAGGACUGGGGUGUCGUGUCUCCUCCGCCUCCCACGGGCCGGGAGGUGAAAGGCAUGCUGGGAGGUGGUAGCCGGAGUUAUUGGGAGCAGAUGGGAAGGGAUGGUGGAGGGGCAGGGCUGUGGGGGAGGGAGGGGCAACCUAGGGGUAGGAGGAAACCGAAAAGACCCUUACCCAGACCACUGGGGUCCUGAGCCAGUUAUCUGGAUGUUCUCCACGGGACAUUCCUUGGUCCAGGUGACAGAGACCACCCCCUCCCUGCUGACCCAAUGCAUCCACCAGAGGCAUCCCUGGCCACCUAGUUCCCUGGACCAAGAUGAGGCCUUGCUAUGUCCCAGGCCCUGCUGGGAUCCCCCUACACCUCCUGAUGCUGCUGAUAGCCACAAAGGGAAGCAGAGAAGUGAACCCCAGUGGCCACCACACUGCAAGCAUCAGGAAACAUUUACUGCCUAGAAGGAUGACCUCUGGACUCAGAAUCCAAAGGAUAAUGAAUGCAGACAG
ensembl:lncRNA